GCGGGCAUAACUCAGCGGUAGAGUGCCACCUUCACACGGUGGAAGUCGCAGGUUCGAAUCCUGCUGCCCGCA
rnacentral:tRNA from 1 species